UGGUCAAUGAACAGAGCCGCCUGCAGCCGCUGAUAAACUGUGAGCUUGAUGCCAGAUAGGGGUCCUUUACCCAGCUCAUGCCAGGCAGGGCUACACAGCCUGGGCAGGCUUUGUCACCUCCCACGUCAACUGUUGCUGUCUGAAGAAUUUUGAAAUGGCUUUUUACCAGGUUGGACAUUUUUAAUCUUUGAAAUGGAUGCCUUCUCUUUUCUUCUAUGUCACUGAGAGGGAUAACUGAAGGACAGCCCUUCUCCCGGAGGGCGUGUGAUUGGAAGAGGAGGCUGUGCAGGGAAAUACAAGGGCACCCACUUCAGUCAGAAACAAAGCUAACAACACAUCCCGGAUUUGAUGAUGUCACAGAGAAAACAAUUUGCCAGGACGGUUAAGAAAUGAGCCACUUGGGAUCUCCACCUUCCAGAACCGGCUGGAGAGAUGGCUCAGAGGUUAAGAACACUGACUGUUC